AGUGAACGCUGGCGGUAGGCCUAACACAUGCAAGUCGAACGGCAGCACAGUAAGAGCUUGCUCUUACGGGUGGCGAGUGGCGGACGGGUGAGGAAUACAUCGGAAUCUACUUUUUCGUGGGGGACAACGUAGGGAAACUUACGCUAAUACCGCAUACGACCUACGGGUGAAAGCAGGGGAUCUUCGGACCUUGCCCGAUUGAAUGAGCCGAUGUCGGAUUAGCUAGUUGGCGUGGUAAAGGCCCACCAAGGCGACGAUCCGUAGCUGGUCUGAGAGGAUGAUCAGCCACACUGGAACUGAGACACGGUCCAGACUCCUACGGGAGGCAGCAGUGGGGAAUAUUGGACAAUGGGCGAAAGCCUGACCCAGCCAUACCGCGUGGGUGAAGAAGGCCUUCGGGUUGUAAAGCCCUUUUGUUGGGAAAGAAAAGCAGCAGGAGAAUCCCCCGCUGUUCUGACGGUACCCAAAGAAUAAGCCCCGGCUAACUUCGUG
rnacentral:rRNA from 1 species